rnacentral:rRNA from 1 species
GAACGAACGCUGGCGGCAGGCCUAACACAUGCAAGUCGAGCGCCCGGAUUUAUCCGGGAGCGGCGCACGGGUGAGUAACGCGUGGGAACAUGCCCUGAAGUACGGAACAACCUGGGGAAACCUUGGCUAAUACCGUAUACGCCCUGAGGGGGAAAGAUUUAUCGCUUUGGGAUUGGCCCGCGUUGGAUUAGCURGUUGGUGUGGUAACGGCGCACCAAGGCGACGAUCCAUAACUGGUCUGAGAGGAUGACCAGUCACACUGGGACUGAGACACGGCCCAGACUCCUACGGGAGGCAGCAGUGGGGAAUAUUGGACAAUGGGCGCAAGCCUGAUCCAGCCAUGCCGCGUGAGUGAAGAAGGCCUUCGGGUUGUAAAGCUCUUUCAGCGGGGACGAUGAUGACGGUACCCGCAGAAGAAGCCCCGGCUAACUUC